GACGAACGCUGGCGGCGUGCUUAACACAUGCAAGUCGAACGGAAAGGCCCUGCUUUUGUGGGGUGCUCGAGUGGCGAACGGGUGAGUAACACGUGAGUAACCUGCCCUUGACUUUGGGAUAACUUCAGGAAACUGGGGCUAAUACCGGAUAGGAGCUCCUGCUGCAUGGUGGGGGUUGGAAAGUUUCGGCGGUUGGGGAUGGACUCGCGGCUUAUCAGCUUGUUGGUGGGGUAGUGGCUUACCAAGGCUUUGACGGGUAGCCGGCCUGAGAGGGUGACCGGCCACAUUGGGACUGGGAUACCGCCCAGACUCCUACGGGAGGCAGCAGUGGGGAAUAUUGCACAAUGGGCGGAAGCCUGAUGCAGCAACGCCGCGUGCGGGAUGACGGCCUUCGGGUUGUAAACCGCUUUCGCCUGUGACGAAGCGUGAGUGACGGUAAUGGGUAAAGAAGCACCGGCUAACUACGUG
rnacentral:rRNA from 1 species